rnacentral:rRNA from 1 species
ACUCAAAUGAAUAGACGGGGACCCGCACAAGCGGUGGAACAUGUGGUUCAAUUCGAGGCAACGCGAAGAACCUUACCAGGCCUUGACAUGCCCUCUAUGGGACCCAGAGAUGGAUCCCUUCACUUCGGGUGGGAGGAGCACAGGUGCUGCAUGGCUGUCGUCAGCUCGUGUCGUGAGAUGUUGGGUUAAGUCCCGCAACGAGCGCAACCCUCGUCCUCUGUUGCUAACAGGUAAUGCUGAGAACUCUGAGGAAACUGCCGGUGAUAAGCCGGAGGAAGGUGGGGAUGACGUCAAGUCCUCAUGGCCCUUACGGCCUGGGCUACACACGUGUUACAAUGGCGAUGACAAUGCGCUGCGAACCCGCGAGGGCAAGCCAAUCGCAAAAAGUCGCCUCAGUUCGGAUUGUACUCUGCAACUCGAGUACAUGAAGCUGGAAUCGCUAGUAAUCGCGCAUCAGCUCGGCGCGGUGAAUACGUUCCCGGGUCUUGCACACACCGCCCGU